rnacentral:ribozyme from 1 species
UACUCGUAAUCAUCAGUUCCCGACGACAACUUGUCCAUAUGGUUAAGGAAAGCCUGGAACACGAGUAUCAAUUUGUUUCACGAAUCACCGAAAACCUCAAACUCUUCCGCCUGUUCCAAGGUAGACGAACAAAACGGGAGAGGA